rnacentral:sRNA from 1 species
AUGGCUGUCGUCAGCUCGUGUCGUGAGAUGUUGGGUUAAGUCCCGCAACGAGCGCAACCCUUGUCCUAUGUUGCCAGCGGGUAAUGCCGGGGACUCGUAGGAGACUGCCGGGGUCAACUCGGAGGAAGGUGGGGACGACGUCAAGUCAUCAUGCCCCUUACGUCCAGGGCUGCACACAUGCUACAAUGGCCGGUACAGAGGGCUGCUAUCCCGCGAGGGUGAGCGAAUCCCAAAAAGCCGGUCUCAGUUCGGAUUGCAGUCUGCAACUCGACUGCAUGAAGUCGGAGUCGCUAGUAAUCCCGGAUCAGCAACGCCGGGGUGAAUACGUUCCCGGGCCUUGUACACACCGCCCGUCAAACCACGAAAGUCGGCAACACCCGAAGCCGGUGACCCAACCUUAGGGAGGGAGCCGUCGAAGGUGGGGUUGGUGAUUGGGGUUAAGUCGUAACAAGGUAGCCGUAUCGGAAGGUGCGGCUGGAUCACCUCCUUUAGAGCAACGAUCUGUCCAGUUGACAGGCGUCCGCACAAGUACCCUGCAUUCCACAACCUGAUCCCUCCUGGGUCUGUAGCUCAGGUGGUUAGAGCGCACCCCUGAUAAGGGUGAGGCCGGAGGUUCGAGUCCUCCCAGACCCACCACGGGAUCUUGGGACGGCUCAGGGCCGAUCAUGGGGCCAUAGCUCAGCUGGGAGAGCACCUGCUUUGCAAGCAGGGGGUCGUCGGUUCGAUCCCGACUGGCUCCACAGAGCUCUUUCACGCGGAUCCGUCCGCGAGAAGCCUGACCGCACAUCCGUGUGCGGACUGUCCGGAAGAGCUGGCUCUAGGUACACCCUGUGGAAUGACACUGCGCACACACUUUAUAUGCCGAAGCUUUGUAGCUUCGGCGUGUUCUUUGACAAUUCGGGACGUAAUGAGCGUUUGAGACGAAGUCUCACACGUGUCGUAGAGGCUAAGGCGAAGUAAUGAUGUGUGUUGAUACACCCUUAAGGCGACUUGGGGUUAUAUGGUCAAGCGAAUAAGCGCACACGGUGGAUGCCUUGGCGGUCAGAGGCGAUGAAGGACGUGGCAGCCUGCGAAAAGCUCCGGGGAGCUGGCAACAAGCAUUGAUCCGGAGAUGUCCGAAUGGGGAAACCCGG